GACGAACCCUGGCGGCGUGCUUAACACAUGCAAGUCGAACGGAAAGGCCCUGCUUUUGUGGGGUGCUCGAGUGGCGAACGGGUGAGUAACACGUGAGUAACCUGCCCUUGACUUUGGGAUAACUUCAGGAAACUGGGGCUAAUACCGGAUAGGAGCUCCUGCUGCAUGGUGGGGUUGGAAAGUUUCGGCGGUUGGGGAUGGACUCGCGGCUUAUCAGCUUGUUGGUGGGGUAGUGGCUUACCAAGGCUUUGACGGGUAGCCGGCCUGAGAGGGUGACCGGCCACAUUGGGACUGAGAUACGGCCCAGACUCCUACGGGAGGCAGCAGUGGGGAAUAUUGCACAAUGGGCGGAAGCCUGAUGCAGCAACGCCGCGUGCGGGAUGACGGCCUUCGGGUUGUAAACCGCUUUCGCCUGUGACGAAGCGUGAGUGACGGUAAUGGGUAAAGAAGCACCGGCUAACUACGUG
rnacentral:rRNA from 1 species